rnacentral:rRNA from 1 species
GACGAACGCUGGCGGCGUGCUUAACACAUGCAAGUCGAGCGGUAAGGCCCUUCGGGGUACACGAGCGGCGAACGGGUGAGUAACACGUGGGUGACCUGCCCUCCACUUCGGGAUAAGCCUGGGAAACCGGGUCUAAUACCGGAUAGGACCUCUGGAUGCAUGUCUGGUGGUGGAUAGUCUGUGUCUUGACUGAUGCUGGCGGUGGGGGAUGGGCCCGCGGUCUAUCAGCNGUUGGUGGGGUGAUGGCCUACCAAGGCGACGACGGAUAGCCGGCCUGAGAGGGUGUCCGGCCACACUGGGACUGAGACACGGCCCAGACUCCUACGGGAGGCAGCAGUGGGGAAUCUUGCGCAAUGGGCGGAAGCCUGACGCAGCAACGCCGCGUGGGGGAUGGCGGCCUCGGUUGU